rnacentral:lncRNA from 1 species
GUCUCAACGAAUCCUAACAGCAUUUCGACGUCACAAACAAUUCAAAGUUAGAAAUUAUUAUCCAUUCUUGGACAGCCCGAGAGUAAGAACGUUUUUAUGGUAGGUGUCAAAGUUCGCCUGCAACACACCUGCUUUUUUCGCGACCCUGCAAAUGGUCCAGUUGUUCAAAGCUGGGUUAGCGCUAAUCCUUGGUUAAUUUAAUCUGCUGUUAUAGUUUAUGUAUAUCUGAACAUCGUUUUGUUUUGAAACCUCAGUGAAGAAAACUCGUACUGAUCCAGACAAGAUUUCUGAAGAAAUAUUUCCAAAUUUAUAAACAAGCUUUUGGGUUUUUGCUUUGAGUGUUAGGGUUGCGCUAACCAGCUUUCGAACAACCGCCAUAUAUGCUAAUCAGUUGACUGAUUCAGUUGCUUUUCUCUUCAAUACUAUUACAUAUGUGUACCUCCCCCUCCCCCCUGGCUCUAGCCUUAAUUGGCUAAUGUAAUUUCCCUAUCCAAUCCAUGUAACGGAUCUAAAGCUAUAAAUUAAUAUUGAAGUUUGACUAACUAUGUUAUUACUAGUAGCACUCAACCCCCCCCUCCCCACCCCACGGCUACUGGCUCUAGCCUUCUUAAUUGGCUAAUUUCCUAAUGUAAUUUCCUUAUCAAAUUCAUAGACUGAUCUAAAGUUAUAAACUAAUAUUGAAAGUUGAUUAACUAUGUUAGAUUACCAGCAGCCUCUGAGCAGCCCUUAAGCAGUUGAAGAUGGCAAUGUCUCGACUGUUUUCCCUUCACAGUGAACAACAUUGUCUGCAUUUAUGCCUGGGUACUUGUCUGAGCAUUUAGACAACCUUAUUUUUCGAACUGACUUUCUGACAAGCUUAGAAUCCACGCCACCCUCAUAUCAUUAGCUGCCAAUGCAUGGUUGUUUGGCCAGAACAGAUCAAUCACUGUCGCUAUCUUUCUUUGUGGGCCACAAGUAUUGGCUAUUUAAUGCUACCCUCAUGCAUGAAAGGUCUAUAUCUCACUAUUUCAGGGCUGGAGGUUUAACCACUGCAGUCGUUACAUUACUCUUUGGAGGAAUCGCCGCGGUGUACUAUGGGAAACGGAAGCUUAGUCAGUCACCUUAGGACAUUCAAAUGGCAAUUGGCAAUUCUUAUAAUAGACCAUAUAUUGUAAAUUCAAUCUUGUACCUGCAUGCAUAUAUACGAAAUUGUUGUAGAUUUUUGUGCUAAACUAUUUUAUUCAAACUUUAAUAAAUAUAGUAUUAAACGAUAAAACCAAAC